GGUUAUGCUCAACCAAGGCAGAAUAAGAUUGGAUUUAUUUUGGAAUGUGAUUAUGUACCUCGUUUGGGUGUAAAGCUGGUUGUAAAGUUCUAGGCCUGCGCUCCAGCUCAGUAGGGGGCAUAGUUCAUGUUCAUACCCCAACCGUACUUGCAUGAGCGUGUUCCCCUGAGCAGAAGGUGGCGGUAAUGCGCCUAUUUAUGUUGGUUGCCAGCUGGUGUUAAAAAUCAAAUCAAGUGACAGGUAAUAAAUGUAUUGUUAUUAAAAAUUUAGCAUAUUGUUUUGGUUUAUUUUCAAACCGAGUAAGAAGUGGUGGUGAAGAGCACACGAAUCUGAUAAAACGCUUCGACUUUGGAGAACAACCUGAGCAUAAGUCAAGCCACAGGUAAAUCCAACAAAGGCGUGGGAGAAAUGGAUGAAACAGAGGAUGACCCGUAGACUGGGUUGUACAAACAAACUCAGAUGACCUCUGUGGCAGGAACGACCAGCAGACUGGCGGGCCAGAGGCUUAACAGGGCUCACGGAGGAACCGGCGGCCGGUGCUCGCAGAGCGGGGAGGCCGAGGCGUUAUACAGCAGGACUUUGAUUUAGGUUUGGACACAACUAAGCCAACCACAACAUCGAUUGGAACAUCUGCAAAAUGACGUAUAAAACAACUUUCAUGCUAAUGCUCAUGUCAGAAUUGGCAUUCCCUGUACUGACAUUGUCAACUAGUCGCCCUGUGGCAGUUAUUCUGGGGGAACGUGCCAUUCUCCCUUGUAAAAACACAUGUACUGGACCUUUAACCUGGACAUUUACUGGUGGUAGGAAGAGACUGGAGGUUUUGAAAGUUGUACCGAAGGAGGUGGCUUUAAAACCAGAUUGAGCCUUUCCACUGAAAAGACCAAGAAUGGAGAUCUGUUCAACAGUUCUCUGCAAUUCAUUUUUAGAAGUUCUGUUCCCUGUCCCUGUAACAGUAAAUGUGUCAGUUAGGGAAGACGUGACACUACCUUGCUAUGCUUAUACUGACAAAGAGGUUGCUGACGAUGCUGUAAACAUCCUGUGGAAAAAGGGUGACCAUAUAGCUGUGCAAGUUCAAAAUGGAAUUACGAACUAUGGCUCAGGUUAUGCAGAGAGGGCCUUUGUUGCAGUAAGUGGUUAUAAAGAUGGAGACCUUUCCUUUUCAAUACGCAGAGCCACCACAUUAGACCAAGGACUAUACCAGUGUUAACACAGCACAGAAGAGGAAAAUGGAUACCCAGGAGCUGUUGUUCUCAACAUUGAAGCUUAUCAGAGUCUGGUGAUUUUCUUACCUUGGAUUUGUUCGUCUCAGACCCUGUGACAAUAAGUUUCACCAGUGCUAAUACAACAGAGAUCCUGCUCUGCAGUGUAGAGAGAAGCAUUGCUACAUGUAGCCCUGACUACACUCACAGAGUGUCUGUCGUCGAUACCUCCCUUGUGCUGCAUGAAUUAACGGGAUCUGAUGCUGGAUUCUUUACAGUGAAAGACAAGAUGGAUGUAAUGGUUGCCAUUUACAAUGUUGCUGUGAAAAGUAUGUUUUAAGUUUUGUACAUUUUACAUACUGUUCACUAGAAGGUGCAAUAUGUUAUAAAAUGAUUGUAAUAAUAUUAACUCCAUAACUAAAGGAAGAAGGAGGCAGGAACCGGCGCACAAACCAAAAUUAAACUUUAAUAUUCAAAAUAAACAAAAAGCAGCACACCAGCCCCUCACGGAAGACUGGUGUGCAUAAAUAAAAAGCAAACACAUAAAAUAUGGUCCAGGCCUGGUCCUCUCUCGUCCUUCACUAUAGUCGCUCCAGUUUUAUAUCCUUCCAUCUCCCACGUGGGACUCGAUACCGGCGGUGGGGCGCAGGUGCAGCUCAUCUCCAAUCACUACACCUGGCCUCACUCCUCGUUCCCACGCCUCUCGGCCCCGCCCCACUCGCCACAAUGAUUUACAGGCUUAAUGAUUGGUCUGUAUUACUUUCUAUGUCUUCUACAGGUCUGGAGACUUGUGAGGUUGGGAAAACGCAUAGUAUUAUUCUGAUACCAAUGACUGGUUUCAUUCUCAUUUGCGCUGGUCUGUACAUUGGGAUUAAAAUCAGAGAAAAAAAAACAGCCAAACAUCGAAGGGCAUGUUUAAACUUUCCUGAAAUAAGGCUUUAUCAAUUCAAGACCAAGGAAAAGGGACCAGAUGUCCUGUAUCAGUGACAUGCUGUUGUACCUCAAACUGUCCGAUUUAUAUAUCCACAAAAGUGACUACACUACUUAUGGCCAUCACAUAAAAAGGUCUAAAUCCUGGGUCUGUGGAAAAUAAUAAAAGGUUCUCUCUUCCAUAGGACCUUAGUUUUCCCAACAAGCCCCACUCCCCUUUUUUUUCUUACUUGUAAUUUCCUCACCACAGCAUGUCUAUUGUUAUGAACAGAACUGUGUCCACCUUGUUAAAACACCCACCUAAUUUCAAUUUGUUAGCACAGAAUGUUAUUCAUUUUAUAUAUAAUUACAUGCAAAUAUACACUACCAGUCAAAAGUUCCAGUCAUUUCUUCUGCUCACCAAGCCUGCAUUUAUUUGAUCCAAAGUACAGCAAGAGCAGUAAUAUUGUGAAAUAUUUUUACUAUGUGAAAUAAUUGCUUUUGAUUGGAAUAUAUUUUAUAUAUAGGGUGCUUUAAAUCGAUGAAAUGAUGAUAAAGACAUUUGUAAUAUUACAUAAGAUUUCAGUUUUUUUAUGUAACUUUACAGUAGAUAUUGAUUUCCUUUAGAAGAGCAUUGAAUGUUGAUGAUAAUGGGAUGCUACUGAUAGCCUCAAUGAGGUUAAUAAAGUGGAUUCUAUAAAAUAUAUUGAUAGUAAAAAAAAAAAGUAAUAUACAAUUGUAUUUGCCAAAGAGCUGAAUUCAGUUUUGGAUUUUUGAAAUGUUGUUGUUUUUUCAGUAUAUUCAAAAAGUGAAAAAAUGUAUAUUUUAAUAUUUAUAUAAAAAAUGUAAAUUGUAACUCCAUGUUGUUUUAAUUUCCUUUUUUUUUUUUUAUUUUGGAUGUCUUGUUUUAAUUGCAUAUGCUUCUAUUUUGUUGUAGUUUCAAAAAGAAAAAAGAAAGAAAAAAAGAUUUUAUAGAGAAAUCAGUAUUGAUAUCAUUGAGUCUUAGAUCUUUGAGUUCAGCUCGUGAAAAAUCCACUGUAUACUGUAAACUUGGCUUUAUGUGUGAUUUAUUUUUUAUUUUUUGUAAUCUUUUUUAUUUUCUUAAAUAUUACCAUAAAAACUUUUUUUUUUUUUUUUUUUUUUACCAAAAUAUGUUGCAAUGAGACAUCUUCUGAUUCUUAAUUGGGCACAUUUUGAAGCACCAUAAUACUGUGGUUUUCAAUCCUAUGGGUUUGGGAGAUAUGCUACAGUUUUUAUUAAUUUAAUUAUCUAUGUGUGUUUGAAUGAGCUUUUUUCUAUUUCUAUUAUCGUGUAUUAACAUUUUAUGUAAUGUUCUGGCUGCUUGUCAUAAUGAAUACCAUAGUUUGAUAGAAACAAUAUAGUUCUAAACUAACAUAACUUUUACUUGCCCUCAGAAAUUCAAAACUAAGUCUGAAUUUUUGCCAUUAGAAUGAUGAAUUGAGUCCCAAAUCAGACUUUAUUGACUUACUCUUUUAAAAAGUGUCAGCUUUUACAAAUGUACAGUUGGUAAAAAUGUAUAUCUGCAAUUCAGUGCAAUAUCACUGCUUUACUGUGGAAUUUCCGUUUUCAAUGUACUAAAUUGUUAAAUAUUACUGAUAACUUAUUGUGGAAUGCAACAAUACUGCAGUGUUUUAAUAAAAAUGAUUGCUGAAUCCAAA